rnacentral:rRNA from 1 species
CCUACGGGGUGCAGCAGUGGGGAAUAUUGGGCAAUGGGCGCAAGCCUGACCCAGCAACGCCGCGUGAAGGAAGAAGGCUUUCGGGUUGUAAACUUCUUUUCUCAGGGACGAAGAAAGUGACGGUACCUGAGGAAUAAGCCACGGCUAACUACGUGCCAGCAGCCGCGGUAAUACGUAGGUGGCAAGCGUUAUCCGGAUUUACUGGGUGUAAGGGGCGUGUAGGCGGGAAAGCAAGGCAGAGGUGAAAACCAUGGGCUCAACCUGUGGCCUGCAUUUGAAACUGUUUUUAUUGAGUACUGGAGAGGAAGACGAAAUUCCUGGUGUAGGGGGGAAAUGCGUAGAUAUGAGGAGGAAAACCAGGGGCGAGGGGGGUCUGCUGGACAGCAACUGACGCUGAGGCGCGAAAGCGUGGGGAGCAAACAGGAUUAGAUACCCGAGUAGUC